AUAAUAAUAUAGGCUCUUUGAGUUUGGUAAUUAGAAUGAGUACAAUCUGAAUCCCAUAAUGAUGAUCCAUUGGAGGGCAAGUCUGGUGCUAGCAGCCGCAAUAAUUUCAGCUCCAA
rfam:Nicotiana attenuata strain TT chromosome 1, whole genome shotgun sequence.